GAUGAACGCUGGCGGCGUGCCUAAUACAUGCAAGUCGAACGAAAAGACGAUGAGCUUUCUCCUCUAACGGUGGCGGCGGACGGAUGAGUAACGCAUAGAUCACCUACCUAUAUUACUGGGAUAACUUCGUGGAACCACUGCUGCUACCGGAUAAUAUCUUCAACGGGAUGGUUCAAUAGAUAAUGAGGGUUUUGCUGUCACUAUGAGAUGUAGUCGGGUCGCAUUAGCGGUUUGGUACGGUAACGGCUUACCAAGGCAACGAUGCGUAGCCGACCGGAGAGGGUGAUCGGCCACACUGGAACUGAGACACGGUCCAGACUCCUACGGGAGGCAGCAGUAGGGAAUGUUAGGCAAUGGGCGGAAGCUUGACCCAGCCACGCCGCGUGAGUGAUGAAGGUCUUCGGGUCGUAAAACUCUGUUAUUAGGGAAGAACAAAUGUGGAAGUAACUAUGCACGUCCUGACGGUACCUAAUCAGAAAGCAACGGCUAACUACGUG
rnacentral:rRNA from 1 species